AUUAAAAGUGCUGACUGAGGUACUUUUACCCUGGCUGAGGCUGGGUGUCGUACAUGGAUUUUCUGGAGCUCUGAGAACAGCUGUGAGGCACACACUAUCAGCAAACACUGUGUCACAGGAGAGUGUGAAACCAAUCUUGGGCAAAACAUGCUGCGAGGAGUCACAUGUGGAAGCACUGCUGACAAGCUGAUUUUGGGGGUACAGCGUGCAACUGGAGAUCAGGCAGUGGGCUAAGGGGAUAUAACUACGUGCUGACACUGCUCUUGUUGUAGAAGCCGAAAUACAUUUACAGUGGAAUCAUUCUUUUUCAAACGCUAAACCUCUGUAAGCACCUGGUACAUCAUUGGUCCUGCCAGAGAAACGCUGUGAGAUGGUCGCUGUGGGUCCCUUCCACCUCAGGAUAUUCUAUGAUUCUAUGACCUUUGUGUGUGGAAGCCACUGAAGCACAAUGGAGAUGAAAAGAUCAAGAACUUAAGUGAAGUGCAAGAUUAAGAAUGAGGAAUCUCCCCUGCAGCGUAUUUGUUCUUGCUGGAGUCCUAAAGGUGUGGUGUGACAGCGAGCAGCCCAGCGGCUGCUGGGCCAGCCACAUGGUUACAUCUGGUGGUGGCACCUCACAUCGAGGGGUCUCUGUUAGAACAGAGCUGUCCGGGUUGCGAUGCACUGGGAAGGCAGCAUGCAGUUGUAGAACAUAGAAAUGGUUGAAAACCACACCGUUUGCAAAGCAUAUGCCGCCAAAACUCCCACAGCCUCUCUGUGCAGUGUUUCAGUGCCACCGCUCUGAGAUCCACGCGCUGCUACAGAAGAAAGGGAACUCGCAGAUG